rnacentral:rRNA from 1 species
GAUGAACGCUGGCGGCAUGCCUAAUACAUGCAAGUCGAACGAGAGGAAGGAAAGCUUGCUUUUCUGAAUCUAGUGGCGAACGGGUGAGUAACACGUAGGUAACCUGCCCAUGUGCCCGGGAUAACUUCUGGAAACGGAUGCUAAAACCGGAUAGGUAGCAGACAAGCAUUUGACUGCUAUUAAAGUGGCUAAGGCCAUGAACAUGGAUGGACCUGCGGUGCAUUAGCUGGUUGGUGAGGUAACGGCCCACCAAGGCGACGAUGCAUAGCCGGCCUGAGAGGGCGGACGGGCACAUUGGGACUGAGACACGGCCCAAACUCCUACGGGAGGCAGCAGUAGGGAAUUUUCGUCAAUGGGGGGAACCCUGAACGAGCAAUGCCGCGUGAGUGAGGAAGGUCUUCGGAUCGUAAAGCUCUGUUGUAAGAGAAAAACGACAUUCAUAGGGAAUGAUGAGUGAGUGAUGGUAUCUUACCAGAAAGUCACGGCUAACUACGUGCCAGCCGCCGCAGUAA